GUUCCCUGCUUCCACCUUCCCUCUCAUUUCUUAUCCUCUGAUUAAUCCACGUCAGGGUGGAGUUCUGACUUACUUUCUAAAAAAAACCAUGAAUGAUCUGAGAAGGUUUAUUCUUUCUAGCCACUAACCAUGCCCCUGCCCUAAAAGGGAGGAGGGAGGAGUUUUGGGAGGCUGCCCUUUUUAAAACAGUCAUUUUUUUUCCCUUUCAGAAGUUGAAAGCAGAGUUGACCACCAGAUGGGAUGUUGUAGCUAUGAAGUAAUGAUGUCGAAAUAUGUUCCUGUUGAACUCGAGUCGUCUGGAGGGGAAGACCAGCUUGAUUUUGGUCAAUGGGAAUGAAUAGAAGAUCUCUCAGAUUAUGACCGCCCUGAAUAAAUUAAGAAUACCUCCUGUGCCAAGGCAAAAAGCAUCAUACGGUGUUCUGGCUAAUUAGAGCGGACGUGGGUUUUCCAGAAAUUUUACACUUCAAGGAAGUAUUCUGCCACACAAUAUCUAUACAAUCUGAGAACAGAUCUUCAGUCUGAUGUGAAACUUGGAACUACACAUUGCACAGCGAUAGGUCUUGGAGAAACGGAAGGGAUCCAGGAGUCUGAGCAAUGGCACGUGAUGAUCAGGUGGUUGAGUGCGGCCAGAGAAGCAAGGAUUGGCACAACACAGAUUCGAGGUGAGCAUCAGUGAUUGAUAGGCAGAUGCAGCUGUGCACCCGGAGAAAGAAGGAUGGGACGACUUCUUGAUAUUUUAUUUAGAAAUGCAGCACGGUAACAGGCUCUCCCGGCCCAGUGAGGUUGUGCUGCCCAAGUACACCCACAUGUGCAAUGAACCUACUAGCUCUCUGUGUCUUUGGAAAGUGGGAGGAAACCAGAGCACCCUGAGGAAAUCUACAUGGUCAUGGGUGAACAUGCAAACUCCUUGCGGACAGUGGCAAGAAUGGAACGUAGAGCUCUGGCACUGCAAAGUGUUAUGCUGACUGCUACACUACUGUGCUGCCCCAGACUGAACUGUAAGAGGAAUAACAAGUCAGACAUGUUUGAGGUGUGCACAUUAGAGAGUUUUGCGUGACUCACACAGCAGGAUGUAGCUAGCCUCAGUACUUUCCUUUCCUGCUCUGCUUACAUUGAAAAACACUUACACCAUUAAAUCAAUGAGAGUACCGCCAUCCUUCUGCUACUGACGUCACCGUCAGCCUCUAACCACAACUUCUUUAUUUCACUGCCAAACCUUCCUGAGUGUCUCCACAGAUUCCAACACCAUCACUAAAGUGCGCAGACGUUGAACAUUCCGGUUUUGUUCUGUCAAAUCUUUAUGCUGUGCUCCAAAAUCCAGCAGAUUGAAUUUUGGGAUUGCCCUUUAACUUGCUUCACAGAGUCCCUUGUUGAUUGGUCAAAGGACUGAGAUAGAAAGACACUGACAUUCAGGUCGCAACCUUUUCAGGAUUUCCUUCACACGUACACCCCGCUUUCAGCACAUCAAGAGCUCUAGUCCCUGUUGUUAAUUUUUAAAAUCCAACCGUUAUUGCAGUAAAAUGAUGCAUACUGUUUUCUGUAAAUUUUUCAAUGGAUCAUUCAAGUCUCUGG